AUUGAACGCUGGCGGCAGGCUUAACACAUGCAAGUCGAGCGGGGUGAUGGUGCUUGCACUAUCACUUAGCGGCGGACGGGUGAGUAAUGCUUAGGAAUCUGCCUAUUAGUGGGGGACAACAUCUCGAAAGGGAUGCUAAUACCGCAUACGUCCUACGGGAGAAAGCAGGGGAUCACUUGUGACCUUGCGCUAAUAGAUGAGCCUAAGUCGGAUUAGCUAGUUGGUGGGGUAAAGGCCUACCAAGGCGACGAUCUGUAGCGGGUCUGGGAGGAUGAUCCGCCACACUGGGACGGAGACACGGCCCAGACUCCUACGGGAGGCAGCAGUGGGGAAUAUUGGACAAUGGGGGGAACCCUGAUCCAGCCAUGCCGCGUGUGUGAAGAAGGCCUUAUGGCUGUAAAGCACUUUAAGCAAGGAGGAGGCUCUUUUGGUUAAUACCCAAGAUGAGUGGACGUUACUCGCAGAAUAAGCACCGGCUAACUCUGUGCCAGCCGCCGCCGUAA
rnacentral:rRNA from 1 species